rnacentral:lncRNA from 1 species
GAAAGACAUAUAAUUAAAAAAUUGAAGGUUGAAACUGAGUGCUAUAAGGUAAGAUUGCUCAAAAAGCAAGCAAAGAAAAAGAAGGAAAAUUUACCGCAGACCGCUGAGCGGUUGUGGCGCGAUGAGUCUCGGCUUUUCUUAAAAGCUGAGCGGUUUUUGAAGUUCUUCACUUUGAAACUCUUCUUUGCAUUUCGCCUGAGCGGUCUCCCUAAGCCCUAACACUCUUCUUUCACUUUCAAGAGCUUUUUAGAGAGAUUUCCUCACUUUCUCAUCACCCACUCACCAAAAAUACAAUUUUCUACCAUUGUUGAGUC